rnacentral:rRNA from 1 species
GACGGAGGAUGCAAGCGUUAUCCGGAAUGAUUGGGCGUAAAGUGUCCGCAGGUGGCAGUUCAAGUCUGCUGUCAAAGACCGGGGCUUAACUUCGGAAAGGCAGUGGAAACUGAACAGCUAGAGUAUGGUAGGGGCAGAGGGAAUUCCUAGUGUAGCGGUGAAAUGCGCAGAUAUUAGGAGGAACACCGGUGGCGAAGGCGCCACUCUGGGCCGAAACUGACGCUGAGGAGCGAAAGCGUGGGUAGCAAACAGG